AUGAAGAGUUCUUGUUCGGUGUUAUCCUAUUCUAUGCCACUACCAGUAAGCACAGAGAUCGGAAUCGAAACAGUUAGAAGCGAUUCGUUGGCGACAUGGAAACAGAUCACGAACGAAACGACGAAUCGCUUUUUGAGUUUGAGUUUUCUUUUUCUCUCUCUCUCUCUCUCUCUGUGUAAUAAGAUGAUUGUGAAUGCAGUGGCGUUACGCCAAGACUUUUCUUGUUGA